GUCAAGGUUGAGAAUUACUGGGAUUCUAGAGUGAACUGAAGAGAGGGAAAGGAUUUGAAGACAGAAAGAAAAGGGAGGUGUAUGAAAAGUAGAUCUCAUUUCCACAAGUCACAGGGUUAAUGAGUGCAACAGGUUUUGAAUAAUGUUUGCAAUUGAACUUUUAAUGUCAGUAACCCUGGCUUUUAAAUACCCAAUGGGACCAGUCCAGUGCAACAGAAAAUGACAGGAAUGUAUGGAAUCUGGUCAAGGUGUUAAGAGGCUCCAACCCAGUGGGGAAGGGGAAAGCUAUUGAUUAAAACAAAAACUAUUUUGAGUUUUUGUUAUUAUGAGUUGAGCUCCUUAAUGAAGUUUUUCUAUUAUGGCUAUAUUGGCUGCACCCUAAAUGGGGUGUCCUGGGUGAACCAAAUGCUGGUGUAGGGAAAGGAAUGGGAAUGUUGAGGGGAUGGGAAGAGGCAUCAAGAACAGGAAUAUAAUUUUCCUACAGUGCUGUUCUGCUGAGACUACAGAGUACCUCAGGGAGUCAUGCAUCCUCUUCCUGUUGCUUUACUGAAUCUUAAAGAGUGAUACAGUACUAAUGAUGCCAUUCUAGCAACUGGAGCAGCUUCAGGGGAGAGAGCACAUUAAGGGUGCUGGGAUGGUAAUGGUUGGGAGGAAGCUGAAUGGUAGUAAGAGAGACAUUCUGUCCUGAGAACUCUGAUCCAGGAUCUGAAUGAUGCAGUGUCGCAAUCCCAUUUUAUAAAUGAGGCAACCAAAACUCGAACAGGACCAUAUUGCGACUGAAACAAGGCAUAACAGGUCUUUGACUGGCUAUCCUGUGGAUGUGGACUCAGGCUAGCCUGCGCAAAGUGAAAGACAGGCAAUUAGAUUGAAAAAUACCUGUGAUUCAAAGAAGUCACAAGUCACAGAGACAAACUUUUCCCAGUGUGUUCGAGUCAGAGAACCUUUGCAAAGACCAACAGGCUAAAAGAGAAAAUACAAUGUCAUCUUGAUGCAGAUGAGCAGGUAACCAUGGAAGUCGUGAGCUGAGGCUGCAGAGUCUAGAGCCAGAGUGUGGAAUAAACUUGGGUCUCAAAUCACCCCUGGAGCAAAGCACCCAUCUAAUCAGGAACUUCUACUUUCAACUUUACAUGCGUGAGAAAUGAACUUCUAUCAUGUUAGAGAAAUCCUUACACGGCGCCCUUGAGAGCUUUCAUACUGCAAGUCAUCCAUUUUCCUCCCCUCAAACCUGGCAUCGGAGUUUAUUGAAACAAAGCAAAAUAAAACAAAUAGACAAA
rnacentral:lncRNA from 1 species